CAAUAGCGUAUAUUAAAGUUGUUGCAGUUAAAAAGCUCGUAGUUGAAUUUUUGCUUGCCGCCGAUGCCGGAACUUCCGUACGUUCGGCGGCGUGCAUCCUUGGGUGGAACCUGUGUGGCAUUAGGUUGUCGUGCAGGGGAUGCUCAUCGUUUACUGUGAAAAAAUUAGAGUGUUCAAAGCAGGCUUACGCCGUUGAAUAUAUUAGCAUGGAAUAAUAAGAUAGGACCUUGGUACUAUUUUGUUGGUUUGCGCACCGAGGUAAUGAUUAACAGGGACAGUUGGGGGUAUUCGUAUUCCAUUGUCAGAGGUGAAAUUCUUGGAUUUCUGGAAGACGAACUACUGCGAAAGCAUUUACCAAGGAUGUUUUCAUUAA
rnacentral:rRNA from 1 species